GACUACUAAUGGAAAUGGUCUU
rnacentral:snRNA from 1 species